AGAGUUUGAUCCUGGCUCAGGAUGAACGCUAGCUACAGGCUUAACACAUGCAAGUCGAGGGGCAGCAUGGUCUUAGCUUGCUAAGGCCGAUGGCGACCGGCGCACGGGUGAGUAACACGUAUCCAACCUGCCGUCUACUCUUGGACAGCCUUCUGAAAGGAAGAUUAAUACAAGAUGGCAUCAUGAGUCCGCAUGUUCACAUGAUUAAAGGUAUUCCGGUAGACGAUGGGGAUGCGUUCCAUUAGAUAGUAGGCGGGGUAACGGCCCACCUAGUCUUCGAUGGAUAGGGGUUCUGAGAGGAAGGUCCCCCACAUUGGAACUGAGACACGGUCCAAACUCCUACGGGAGGCAGCAGUGAGGAAUAUUGGUCAAUGGGCGAGAGCCUGAACCAGCCAAGUAGCGUGAAGGAUGACUGCCCUAUGGGUUGUAAACUUCUUUUAUAAAGGAAUAAAGUCGGGUAUGGAUACCCGUUUGCAUGUACUUUAUGAAUAAGGAUCGGCUAACUCCGUGCCAGCAGCCGCGGUAAUACGGAGGAUCCGAGCGUUAUCCGGAUUUAUUGGGUUUAAAGGGAGCGUAGAUGGAUGUUUAAGUCAGUUGUGAAAGUUUGCGGCUCAACCGUAAAAUUGCAGUUGAUACUGGAUAUCUUGAGUGCAGUUGAGGCAGGCGGAAUUCGUGGUGUAGCGGUGAAAUGCUUAGAUAUCACGAAGAACUCCGAUUGCGAAGGCAGCCUGCUAAGCUGCAACUGACAUUGAGGCUCGAAAGUGUGGGUAUCAAACAGGAUUAGAUACCCUGGUAGUCCACACGGUAAACGAUGAAUACUCGCUGUUUGCGAUAUACAGUAAGCGGCCAAGCGAAAGCAUUAAGUAUUCCACCUGGGGAGUACGCCGGCAACGGUGAAACUCAAAGGAAUUGACGGGGGCCCGCACAAGCGGAGGAACAUGUGGUUUAA
rnacentral:rRNA from 1 species